AGUCCUGUGUGGAACUGCCUAUUUUGACACCUAUGGGGGGGUGAGAGAUAUAUAUAUAUAUAUCUCACCCCCCCAUAGGUGUCAAAAUAGGCAGUUCAGGUG